AUAUAAAAGAGGGACGAAAGAUACCAAAGGGACUGUCAAACUCAUAAAUCUAAAACAAACUGACAACGCCAUGGCUAAAAAUGAAAAAGACAAACAGAAAAACAAUAGUACACAUGACACAAAAUAGAAAACUAAAGAAUAAACAACACGAACCCCACCAAAAACUAGGGGUGAUCUCAGGUGCUCCGGAAGGGUAAGCAGAUCC
rnacentral:lncRNA from 1 species